GAAUCACGCGUGCGCAAACGGGGACGCGGUUCGGGGGCGGGACGCGACGAGCCCCGCCUAGCGACUGCAUCCGGGAGCGCGCUUGUUACUCUCGACUGGUUCGUCGUGAUUGCGGUUGGUGGUGCGGAGCGUUUCUGCGGGUUUAAACUCCUGAGAAAGCUCCCAGAAAGCGAGAGUAAGAGCCCUCCCGCGAAUGUGAGAGUGGCCGCAGCUGCUCCUUCCCCAGUCAUUUUGGCAUUUUUUUUUUUUCCCACCAAACUUAGGGAGCUUAGUUACAGCCUGGUGCUCCUGGAAGCCCGGCAGUUGGGAUUCGAGGCUCAGAGGAGUUUUCUCUGCAGUCCCCCUUCAUCACCCUACCUACUAGGUACCUGGGCUCUGAUACUGGUGCUGGGGAGCUGACUUCGGGCCUUCGGAGCCUCGAACCCACCGAUGGCAUAUGGCUUAUAUUUAUGGAAUAUUUGAUGUUUUUCAGGCUGUGUGCACGUGCAUUAUAUCUCUUAAUAACUGCUAAAUUCACUGAGCUCUUACUAUGUGUCGAGUGUUCUGCAUCUUUUUUUCUGCAGGCUGGACGAAGGAGGAAGGAUUAGAAAGGUUUAGAAAGUAACAAGCACAAGGUCACACUGCUGCCUGGGAGUGGAUCUAGGUUCCAUUAGCUUCAAUAUCCAAGCUGUAGGUUACCUCACACUACCUCUGACAAUCUUAGUGUCAAAGUCACCAAACCCUUACCUGUGAGUAAUUUGCAGGGAGGUUCUACUGCAUUUGGUCGUCGGAGUUUCCAACCAACCUGCAGAUGAGAUGGGAUUUUAUGGAUGAGACUAAAAGGCAGGGGCGAAUCUGUCUUGGUGCAUUUUUGGAGAUUGACAGAACUGGAAUUUAAGCCACAUAUCUUCUACUCCAGUGCUUGGAUUGAAACCUGCUUGUGGAAGGAGCAGACUGUGGGGAGACACAGUGUCUGAAAACCAGGUGGUCAUCCCCCAACCUUUGAUAGAUUGGGAAACCUACAAAAAGUUGGAGCUUGAAAAUAAGAGAGAGAAAGAGAGAGAAGAGGAGUGAGGGAGGAAACAAGAAGACCAACAACUUCUGGGAUGGGCGAAGAGGGAGAACAGAGAAGAAAUACAGCAAAAGACAUUUCUCAGAGUUAUAAUGAAAUAUUAGACUAGGAGAAAUAUGGACCCAUAAGUACAUUAAAGGGGAAACAGUUUACUCAUGUCAAUUGAUGCAUUAAAAACUACUCAAAAUACUCAACAUCUGCUGAUGAUAAAGAACAUCUCAUAAACUGAUAAAGGACAUCCUCAAAAAUCCUACAGCACACAUCAUAAUAAUGGUGGAAUGUUGAAAGCAUUUCUCUUAAUAUGAGAAACAAGCCAAGACUGCUUGCUCUCAAUAACCCUAGUCAAUGCAAGGAGUUUAGCCAGCCCAACAAACAGCAACAAAUAUAUAAGCAUUGGAAAACAAGAAUAUCAGUAUUUGUGGAUGAUAUAAUUCUGUGGGUAGCAACCCGAAAAGAAAAUCGAGAUAAAGUUGAUACAAAGCAAAAGGUCAAUCAGUGCUCUCAAGCUUCUAAAGCAAUGAAGGCAGAAAGUAGAAGGGGAGACACCUUCACCAGCCAGACAAGAUGCUCUGCUCUUCAUCUAACUUGGUGACAAUCUGAGAAGCUACUGAAGUGGAAUUCUCCAGUCAGCUGGAGCUCUCCCAGAGGAAGAGGAGGAUAGGAGUCGAGACCCAAGGUAUUUUAGAAGUCUCAUUUCAUCUGAUAGCCCUUACAGCGGCAAUUUGCACAGCUUCUGCUCAAAGCUCCCGCCCCAUAUCGCUGUCCGAAGGCCCUGGAGCUCCCGGACGAAGCUCGGCCUCCAGGUCAUCACUGCCUACACUUCGGGAACCCCCACCAGAAAAGAACGGAAAACCACCUAGGUGCCACCUACUUGGUCACUAGUUCCGUAGAGGCGCUUAAAGAGACAUCAACAACAAUAGCAAUAAUAACAACACAUUUGUAUAGCGCUCUGUGCUCAUUUGUAUGGGUGUGUUAUGAUUUCACGAUUGGGAGUGGAAAGAACCUGGAAGUAGAAGUAGCUGCUGGACAGCGGCAAGGGAG